AACGUAGGACGCAAGCGUUGUCCGGAGUUACUGGGCGUAAAGCGCGGGCAGGCGGUCGGUCAAGUCUGAUGUGAAAUCUCUCCGCUCAACGGGGAGCAGCCAUUGGAAACUGGGCGACUGGAGUCUGACAGAGGUAGGCGGAAUUCCGGGUGGAGUGGUGAAAUGCGUUGAUAUCAGGAGGAACACCAAUGGCGAAGGCAGCUCUCUGGUACGUGACUGACACUGAGACGCGAAAGCGUGGGGAGCGAACAGG
rnacentral:rRNA from 1 species